rnacentral:rRNA from 1 species
GCUGUCACUUUUGGAUGGGCCUGCGGCGUAUUAACUUGUUGGUGGGGUAACGGCCUACCAAGGUGAUGAUACGUAGCCGAACUGAGAGGUUGAUCGGCCACAUUGGGACUGAGACACGGCCCAAACUCCUACGGGAGGCAGCAGUAGGGAAUCUUCCACAAUGGACGAAAGUCUGAUGGAGCAACGCCGCGUGAAUGAAGAAGGCCUUCGGGUCGUAAAAUUCUGUUGUCAGAGAAGAACGUGCGUGAGAGUAACUGUUCACGUAUUGACGGUAUCUGACCAGAAAGCCACGGCUAACUACGUGCCAGCAGCCGCGGUAAUACGUAGGUGGCGAGCGUUGUCCGGAUUUAUUGGGCGUAAAGGGAACGCAGGCGGUCUUUUAAGUCUGAUGUGAAAGCCUUCGGCUUAACCGAAGUAGUGCAUUGGAAACUGGAAGACUUGAGUGCAGAAGAGGAGAGUGGAACUCCAUGUGUAGCGGUGAAAUGCGUAGAUAUAUGGAAGAACACCAGUGGCGAAAGCGGCUCUCUGGUCUGUAACUGACGCUGAGGUUCGAAAGCGUGGGUAGCAAACAGGAUUAGAUACCCUGGUAGUCCACGCCGUAAACGAUGAGUGCUAAGUGUUGGAGGGUUUCCGCCCUUCAGUGCUGCAGCUAACGCAUUAAGCACUCCGCCUGGGGAGUACGGUCGCAAGACUGAAACUCAAAGGAAUUGACGGGGGCCCGCACAAGCGGUGGAGCAUGUGGUUUAAUUCGAAGCAACGCGAAGAACCUUACCAGGUCUUGACAUCUUCUGACAAUUCCAGAGAUGGAACGUUCCCUUCGGGGACAGAAUGACAGGUGGUGCAUGGUUGUCGUCAGCUCGUGUCGUGAGAUGUUGGGUUAAGUCCCGCAACGAGCGCAACCCUUAUUGUCAGUUGCCAUCAUUAAGUUGGGCACUCUGGCGAGACUGCCGGUGACAAACCGGAGGAAGGUGGGGAUGACGUCAAAUCAUCAUGCCCCUUAUGACCUGGGCUACACACGUGCUACAAUGGACGGUACAACGAGUCGCUAACUCGCGAGGGCAAGCUAAUCUCUU